ensembl:snRNA U1 U1 spliceosomal RNA
AGACUUACUUGGUGGAGGUGAUCCCAUGAUCACAGAGUGCUUUUCCCAGGGUGCAGCUUACCCAUUACACUCUGAACAUGCUGAUCCCUAUAAUUUUGCCAAAUGAGGGAAACCCAGCCCCAUCAUUUGUAGCCCUGGGGGACUAUGUUUAUACUCUGCCCUG